rnacentral:rRNA from 1 species
UUGGUCAAUGGCCGCAAGGCUGAACCAGUAACUUGGAAGAAUGUAAGUGUAUUUGUAUAAAUACAAUAGUGAUUAAUUCACAUAAAAUUCUAAAUAGAUAUUUAUAAUGACAUAAUCUAUUUAUAAGUCUUGACCAAACUACGUGCCAGCAGUCGCGGUAAUACGUAGAAGGCUAGUGUUAGUUAUCAUUAUUGGGUUUAAAGGGUGUGUAGACUGUAAAUUAAACUUUAAAAGAGUACUUUUUUACUAGAGUUAUAUGUGAGAAGGAAGAAUUUCUGGAGUAGAGAUAGAAUUUUUUGAUACCAGAAGGACUGUCAACGGCGAAGGCGUCCUCCUAUGUAAUAACUGACGUUGAGAUACGAAGGCUUGGGUAGCAAACAGGAUUAGAUACCCUAGUAGUCCAAGCAGACAAUGAUGAAUGUCAUACAUUAGAGAAAUUUAAUGUAUAAACGAAAGUGUAAGCAUUCCACCUCAAGAGUACUAUGGCAACAUAUAAACUGAAAUCAUUAGACCGUUUCUGAAACCAGUAGUGAAGUAU